rnacentral:rRNA from 1 species
AGCCAGACUCCUACGGGAGGCAGCAGUGAGGAAUAUUGGUCAAUGGGCGCGAGCCUGAACCAGCCAAGUCGCGUGAGGGAGGACGGCCCUACGGGUUGUAAACCUCUUUUGCCGGGGAGCAACGGGCGUCACGUGUGGCGCCACUGAGAGUACCCGGAGAAAAAGCAUCGGCUAACUCCGUGCCAGCAGCCGCGGUAAUACGGAGGAUGCGAGCGUUAUCCGGGUUUAUUGGGUUUAAAGGGAGCGUAGGCGGUGUCGUAAGUCCGGUGUUAAAGUGCGGGGCUCAACCCCGGGACCGCCAUUGAAACUGGCGUGCUUGAGUGGAAGAGAAGUAUGCGGAAUGCGUGGUGUAGUGGUGAAAUGCAUAGAUAUCACGCAGAACCCCGAUUGCGAAGGCAGCAUGCCGGCUUCCGACUGACGCUGAAGCACGAAAGCGUGGGGAUCGAACAGGAUUAGAUACCCGAGUA